rnacentral:lncRNA from 1 species
GAGCUAUUGAAUUUCAAGGGUGACUAUUUCUUCCUAUGUAGCGAUCAGGGACUGCUUCAUGGAGGAGGGGGCAUUCGAGGUUGAUACGACUUGAAUACCCAAGGCUGAGAGAUUCGGACAUGAUUCCCAGUCCCAAUCUCAGAUGCCCUGAGCUCCUUCACUCUUCCAAACCACAUUAUGGGGAAUCUGAUGAUUCUUGCCAGGUGAUGUAAUAGCUCUGGUGAUGAUCAGAUAUCAUCCCGCCUCUUAAUGACAGAGCACCAUCUUCUGAAGCCCUUUAAAGAUACAGUCUAGCUCAUGCCUCUGAAGUGAGCAGAGAUGGAUAAAGAAGCCACCUCAUAGACACAAAGGAACUUCUCAAAGUUCCAGAAUUGUUUGAGAAGAGAACCUGCCGAUCCUCUCAGCCAUGUAAUCCUUCUUGGAACACUCCCUCAUCUUCACCCACGUAGACUUGCACACCUACCCUCCAGAUGUGGUGGGAGACGCCUUUAUGUAACAUGAAUCUGUAUGAUGAAUUCUUGCUCAUAUUGAAGACAUGAAAUUCCUAUGAAUAGGACAUGUACUUUGAGUUCAUUAUCCCUAAAAGCAAGUCAUGGAUAUGCUUAAGUUAUCUGAGUGCUUUCCCUGGAAGACCAGUGGAAUGCUUCGGUGUCAAAGAAGACAACAGGAACCAUGAGCAGAACCACUUGGAACUGCAAACUCUUUGGGCCAAGGAGAGACUUCUUCUCCAGGUCUGGUUUGGUUCGCAAAUUCCUGGCUGUCAUAGCAACCUGAAAAGCAAAGGAAGACUGUUUAGUGUCGUCUUUGACUGCAGCCUGGGCUCGGAAUGCGCUCAGGUUGGCCCAGUAAACAGUGUUCACCGGUAACCACUCUGUGUCUCUCCCUCUGGGCCCAGGGAUGGGUGAGGCAGGGAGCUCACCAGGCUCAAGUCAUCUGGCCGCACAGCUUCUCACCUAGUGUCACUCAGCUCCCCUCUGCUGCUCUGUCUCCCAGUGGCUCUGCCAGAUCUAACAUGGGGAGGGAAUUUCCAGAAGAGGCCUAUUGGGAGAUGGAGUCAACUCCACAGUGGAAGCAAAUGCCUGCCGCCCACAUGAAGAUGUGUGAAGAUGACUUGGGGAGGGGGAGCCGACAGCAUUUCCAUGGUAACCUCAAGCAUCCCUGUGAAGUCAUCAUUGUGCUCUUCUGACCUAUUCAAACCCUGGCAACCAGGGCUGUUUAUCUCUAGGGAUUGAGUUCAAGAUCUAAAAAUGUGAAAGACCUAAACUGAAAUGAAUAGGCACCUCACUUGCUAAGAAGUAGGUCUACAAAGACAUGUGAUGUCAUGUUCAUUAAUCGUUACAUUGAUUGUUACAAGAUUUUUACACAUUUGACAACAAUUUACAGGCGAGUUUUUUUCUCAUUGCAAGAAUUCCUGAUUAUGCACAGUGAUUGCCGAGAAAUCAUUGUUG